rnacentral:rRNA from 1 species
GGGGCGACGGCAGAGUGAAGGCCAAGCUGACGACUUUGCCGGAUUCGCCGAGGGGUGGUGCAUGGCCGCCGUCAGCUCGUGUUGUGAAAAUGUCCUGUCAAGUCAGGCAACGAGCGAGACCCUCACUCUUAGUUGCCAUCGGAUCUUUUGGAUGCCGGGCACCCUAAGAGGACCGCUGGCGAUAAGCCAGAGGAAGGAGAGGGCGACGGUAGGUCCGUAUGCCCCGAAUCCCCCGGGCAACACGCGGGCUACAAUGCGCAGGACAGAGGGUUGCAACCCCGAAAGGGGAAGCCGAUCCCUAAACCUGCGCUUAGUUCGGAUCGAGGGCUGUAACCCGCCCUCGUGAAGCUGGAAUCCCUAGUAACUGCGUGUCAUUAUCGCGCGGUG